AAUCUUCCACAAUGGGCGAAAGCCUGAUCGAGCAACGCCGCGUGAGUGAAGAAGGUUUUUGGAUCGUAAAACUCCGUUGUAAGGGAAGAACAAGUACAGUAGUAACUGGCUGUACCUUGACGGUACCUUAUUAGAAAGCCACGGCUAACUACGUGCCAGCAGCCGCGGUAAUACGUAGGUGGCAAGCGUUGUCCGGAAUUAUUGGGAGUAAAGCGCGCGCAGGCGGUCAUUUAAGUCUGGUGUGAAAGCCCACGGCUCAACCGUGGAAGGGCAUUGGAAACUGGGGGACUUGAGUGCAGAAGAGGAAAGUGGAAUUCCAAGUGUAGCGGUGAAAUGCGUAGAGAUUUGGAGGAACACCAGUGGCGAAGGCGACUUUCUGGUCUGUAACUGACGCUGAGGCGCGAAAGCGUGGGGAGCAAACAGG
rnacentral:rRNA from 1 species